rnacentral:lncRNA from 1 species
UCUCUCAACCCAACCUAUAUGCACCCUUAUCUCCAUCAAACUUUAAGCGAAAAUCCGUCCUAAUAAUUUUCCUAUAUGCAUGUACUAAGUUCUAUUUAUAGAUUCAUGUGAAAAGAAAAAUAUACUAUUGAAAGUGAUCUCGUUUAUACUUUAUACACCUAUCUUUAUUAUAAGAAGUUAGUUUUCCGUCCAUUGAGUUUUGAACAGAAAAACAAUAAUUUUAUAAAAAAUAUGAAAAAUGAUUCCAUACAACACAUGAUUAAUGGAUGUAUCUUCUAAUCACGUGACCUAAGUUGAAGUCUUAUGUUUGAAGGAAAUUAUUGCUGAGACUUACUAAGUCACUAUAAUGCUAUAUAUCAGAAACAGAUCUGGGCCGGGCACUCCAGCCAGUGAAUAAAGUGGGCCGAGCAAAGCCCAUUUCCCACAACCAUAAACCCUACCACUACAAAUACCAUCUCUCUUCCUCAUCUAGAAUUCUAGUGUAGCCGCUGCAAGUGAACGAAACUAAGAAGAAACAGCGAGACAAAGAAGCAGUUGAAGAAUCAAACAUGGGUAACGUACCUAUAAUAUUUAAUCUUAUUUCUUUUCACUGUUUCUUCAUAUAGAUCUGAUUCGUAUAAUUGAUACAGGUAAGGUUCACGGAUCUUUGGCUCGUGCUGGAAAGGUGAGAGGCCAAACACCCAAAGUGGCUAAGCAAGACAAAAAGAAGCAGCCACGUGGACGCGCCCACAAGCGCAUUCAAUACAAUCGCCGAUUCGUCACCGCUGGUAACUUUAAUUAUACCCCGAAACCCUAAUUUUCCUCUUUUCAAACCCUAAGUUGAUGUUUAUGUUUUUGAUCUCACCUAUGUUCAAACCCUAAUUUUCAUAUUUUCAAACCCUAAGUUGAUGUUUAUGUUUUUGAUCUCACCUAUGUCCAAACCCUAAUUUUCCUAUGUUCAAACCCUAAGUUGGUAUUUAAUUUUCGGAUCUCUCCUAUGUUCAAACCCCAAUUUUCCGAUGUUCACGAUCCUAGAGUUUUUUUUGUUGAACGAACUGUUUAGGUUUCAUUUACGCAAAUUUUAUAUAAGAGUAAAGCUAAUGUUUUAGUGGGAAGUGUUAUGUUUCAGUAGUCAGGUUAUGAAGCUUAUUUCUAAUUGAUUGUUCCCUUCCUCGAAAACAAGUAGAUUUUCUAAUAUCAAUCUUUACAAACAAUGUUGUGCCUUUUUAGGAAUUUACUUCUUUAACCUAACCCAAACUUAAUAUGUUUUCUUAAGUUUGAUUUUCUGCAAACUCAUCCAUACAAAUUCAUUCUGCUGCAAUGUCUAGAAAUGUGUAUUUAUACAAUUUAUAUAUUAUUAAAAAAAAUUUUCUCGCUAAUGUAAACACAUUCAAUCCUUUUCCCGUGAAAAGUAGUUUGGUGUUUUAGAAAGCUGAGUUUGUGAACUUUGUGGUCUCAUGAUUAUAUUGUUUUUUUGUGUGAUUGUAGUGGUGGGAUUCGGAAAGAAGCGUGGACCAAAUUCAUCUGAGAAGUGAGGAGCACCCUUCAAGACAUGAUUUUACUUUUUAUCAGUUUGCAAAAUGUAUUCUACUUUGUUUUUGUUUGAUUGUUGAAGUGAAACUAUGCGAUUCCUGAUUAUGUUACAUUGAACCAGAUUUUGGUAGUUAAUGUCAAACUAAAUUUCUUUAUGAUUACAAUUAUGUUAAUUAUUUUUCACAUG